CCGGCGGCGCCUCCGGCCUCUAGCAAGGGUUUGAGGCAUCCGGCUCGGCUGGAUUUCGGCACCGUCGGAAGGUCGUGCUUAGUUAGGGCUAACCAUUUCCUUGUCGAGAUUGCCGACAAUACUCUUUUCCACUAUGAUGUGAGUAUAGUGCCCGAAUCAGUGUCCAGAGCUACCAAUAGAAAAAUCAUCUCUGAGCUUGUCAAGGUGCAUAAGGAUAAAGCCUUUGGGAAGGAGAAUGCCAGCUUAUGAUGGAAGGAAGAGCCUGUAUAUGGCUGGUACUUUUCCUUUUGAGUCAAAGGAGUUCACGGUUUCACUGCCUGAAAAUGAUGGAAGGAAGGCCAAGGAUUUUAGAGUGAUUAUUAAGCUUGUUGGAAACACAAGCAUACACAACCUGAAGGAGUUUUUAGCUGGUCGACAGAUUGAGGCACCUCAAGAAGUCAUUCAAGCCCUUGAUAUUGUUCUUAGGGAGUCUCCAUCUACCAAGUAUACUUCGGUAGCACGGUCCUUCUUUUCCCCGAGCUUUGGGCAUCGGGCACCCAUUGGAAAGGCUUAGAAUGCUGGAGGGGCUACUAUCAAAGCCUUCGACCAACACAAAUGGGCUUGUCUUUGAACAAAGACCUAGUAAGUAUUAGGAAAAAUGUUUACCACGAGCAAGAAGAUCCUAAAGGAUAAGG